rnacentral:lncRNA from 10 species
CACAACACAUGUAAAUACAAAGACAGAAGAUUCAGUAGUUGUAAGGUUUUUCUUUGUCAAUUUCUUUCUUUUUUUUGAAGGAAAGUUUGUAUUAUUUUAAUUAUUUUUAUGUAUAGAAAACUCAACAGUGUACAUUUAACCCAGUUUAGUGGCAAGUUCUUUAGUCUUUGCCUUUUUGAGCUUGGCGAUCUGAGCCACAGACUUGAGACCCAGGGCCUUCCCUCCCCAGUGAUGGCGGAUCUCAUCCUGUCAUUGUAGUUGGUCCUGAUAGCUUCCCCCAGCUUAGCCAAAGCACCUUUGUCUUCUGAGUUAACCUGUGUGAAGACGACAGUGGUGCAGGUCUUCCUGUGGACUAGACGUCCUAGUCUUACCUUCCCCUUGAUAAUGCAGUAAGGGACUCCCCUUUUAUGACACAGGGCAGGCAAGAAGACAACCAGCUUGAUGGGAUCCACAUCAUGCGCAAUCACCACCAGCUGAACUUUCUUUUUCUCCACCAAGGUGGUGACAGUGUUAAUUCCUGCUCGAAGGACACGUGGUCUCUUAAUAAGGAUGUCCCCUUUGUCAGCAGCUUUCUUCUCGGCCCGGGCCAACAGCCUCUGCUUCUCCUCUUGCUUUGUCUCUGGUCUGUACUUGUAGGCUAGCUUAAGCAGCUGAGUAGCUGUUUGGUGGUCCAGGCCCUGGGUGAACUGGUUAAUCACAGAAAAACACUUUCAG